GGAUUGUGGCUCAGUGGUGGAGUGCUUGCCUAGCAUGCAUGAGGCACUGGGUUCAACCCCUGGCACCA
rnacentral:tRNA from 1 species